GCCAGUGUGGUGUAGUGGUUUGAGUGCUGGACUACAACUCUGGAGAUCAGGGUUCGAUUUCCCACUCAAGCA